CCUACGGGGGACAGCAGUGGGGAAUAUUGGGCAAUGGACGCAAGUCUGAUCCAGCAACGCCGCGUGAAGGAAGAAGGCUUUCGGGUUGUAAACUUCUUUUAAGGGGGAAGAGCAGAAGCCGGUACUCCCUGAACAAGCCACGGCUAACUACGUGCCAGCAGCCGCGGUAAUCCGUAGGUGGCAGGCGUUGUCCGGAUUGACUGGGUGUAAAGGGCGUGCAGCCGGAGAGACAAGUCAGAUGUGAAAUCCGCAGGCACAACCUCGGCACUGCUACCGAAACUGUCGGACUUGAGUGCAGGAGGGGUAAGUGGAAUUCCUAGUGUAGCGGUGGAAUGCGCAGAUAUUAGGAGGAACACCGGUGGCGAAGGCGAAUUACUGGACUGUAACUGACGCUGAGGCACGAAAGCGUGGGGAGCAAACAGGAUUAGAUACCCUGGUAGUC
rnacentral:rRNA from 1 species